rnacentral:tRNA from 1 species
UAAAAGAUAAGCUAAAUUAAGCUAAUGGGCUCAUACCUCAAUAAUGAAAGUCACUCUUUCUCUUUUUA